rnacentral:rRNA from 1 species
UACGUAGGGGGCAAGCGUUAUCCGGAUUCACUGGGCGUAAAGGGAGCGUAGACGGCGACGCAAGUCUGGAGUGAAAGCCCGGGGCCCAACCCCGGGACUGCUCUGGAAACUGCGGCGCUGGAGUACGGGAGGGGCAGGCGGAAUUCCUGGUGUAGCGGUGAAAUGCGUAGAUAUCAGGAGGAACACCGGUGGCGAAGGCGGCCUGCUGGACUGCAACUGACGUUGAGGCCCGAAAGCGUGGGGAGCAAACAGG